AUUCCAGCUCCAAUAGCGUAUAUUAAAGUUGUUGCAGUUAAAAAGCUCGUAGUUGGAUUUGUGGUGCUACCUGCAGUCCAAUUAGUUUUGGUGCUAGCGGGUGGUGCCAUCUUUGGGUGGAACCUGUAGGGCAUUAGCUUGUUUUGCAGGGGAUAUCCAUCGUUUACUGUGAAAAAAUUAGAGUGUUCAAAGCAGGCUUACGCCAAUGAAUAUACUAGCAUGGAAUAAUGAAAUAGGACUUUGGUACUAUUUUGUUGGUUUGCGCGCCAAAGUAAUGAUUAAUAGGGACAGUUGGGGGUAUUCGUAUUCCAUAGUCAGAGGUGAAAUUCUUGGAUUUUUGGAAGACGAACUACUGCGAAAGCAUUUACCAAGGAUGUU
rnacentral:rRNA from 4 species